AACGCACAUUGCGCCCUUUGGUAUUCCGAAGGGCAUGCCUGUUCGAGCGUCAUUACAACCACUCAAGCCUUUGCUUGGUCUUGGGGCUCGCGGUCUCGCGGCCCCUAAAAUCAGUGGCGGUGCCGGUCGGCUCUACGCGUAGUAAUGCUCCUCGCGACAGGGUCCGGACGGUGUCUUGCCAGCAACCCCCAUAUUAUUUUCAGGUUGACCUCGGAUCAGGUAGGGAUACCCGCUGAACUUAA
rnacentral:misc_RNA from 1 species